rnacentral:rRNA from 1 species
UACGAAGGGUGCAAACGUUGCUCGGAAUUAUUGGGCGUAAAGCGCACGUAGGCGGUAUUGCAAGUCGGAUGUGAAAUCCCUCGGCUUAACCAAGGAAGUGCAUCCGAAACUGCCGUACUUGAGUACUUAAGAGGAUCGCGGAAUUCCCGGUGUAGAGGUGAAAUUCGUAGAUAUCUGGAGGAACACCGGUGGCGAAGGCGGCAUCCUGGACCGGCAUUGACGCUGAGGCGCGAAAGCCAGGGGAGCAAACGGG